rnacentral:rRNA from 1 species
AUGCAAGCCCCCGGCGGGGACGGGGGUGGGGAUGUACACGGGGGAGGUGUCACGGGCAGGCACUACCCGGCUGGGUUUUCCUCAUUGCCAUCGUUAGGUGCUCCACUGGAGAAGAAGCCUCCUGAGCCUGAGGCAAGCCACGACACCGAUGAGCAGAAUCAGAAGAAACCUGAGGCAAAUCACAUCUAUGGCUCUUCUGAUAGUGCAGGGAUUGAGCAGAUUGAACAUCUCAUCUCCACGAGACAGGUCAAAAGAAGAAGAGUGAAAAUAACCUGGGCCUGCAUAAGGUUCUCAAAUAUAGUCAGUCCGAAAGAGACGCACAUAUUUAUAUAUGAUCUGAGAAAUGCAUGCGUGGACCUCGGAAUGGAUUUUACGACGGUGCAGACGAUAUCCGCCCACGCAGAUUGUGCUCUUAGAAUGGGCAUUGCGGGAGAUGCACGAAUUCAACGACAAAUGUCUUGA